UGAUGGUGCUGAGGCCCUCGUGGA
rnacentral:misc_RNA from 1 species